rnacentral:tRNA from 1 species
AUUAAUUAAUUGGGGGGAAAUCUAAGACGUUUGUGAACCGUCUAAUGAUAGUUCGAACCUAUCAAUUAAAA